GACGAACGCUGGCGGCGUGCUUAACACAUGCAAGUCGAACGGUAAGGCCCUUCGGGGUACACGAGUGGCGAACGGGUGAGUAACACGUGGGUGAUCUGCCCUGCACUUCGGGAUAAGCCUGGGAAACUGGGUCUAAUACCGGAUAGGACUCCUGCCUGCAUGGGUGGGGGUGGAAAGCUUUUUCGGUGUGGGAUGGGCCCGCUGCCUAUCCGCUUGUUGGUGGGGUGAUGGCCUACCAAGGCGACGACGGUGAGCCGGCCUGAUAGGGUGACCGGCCACACUGGGACUGAGAUACGGGCCAGACUCCUAGGAGAUGCAGCAGUGGGGAGUAUUGCACAAUGGGCGCAAGCCUGAUGCAGCGACGCCGCGUGAGGGAUGACGGCCUUCGGGUUGUAAACCUCUUUCAGCACAGACGAAGCGCAAGUGACGGUAUGUGUAGAAGAAGGACCGGCCAACUACGUGCCAGCCGCCGCCGUAA
rnacentral:rRNA from 1 species